rnacentral:lncRNA from 1 species
CUCGCACCGGCGCUGGGGUGCAGGCUUUCAGUGGUCUCAGGGCUACGGCUUGUCGGUGCCUCGCCGCACAGUCCCCUUUGCAUUGAAGGACACGGUCUUACGGUGUAGGAGCAUUUUUGAGGUGCAUUCCUGGAUUUGGAGGCGAACCCCCAAUGGUUACCUCCACAGAGGCUUUGCGAAGGGCGCUCACUGACUUAGGUGAAGAGCGAAGGCUCAAGACUGUGCCGCUUUAUAGUGGCCCCUUGACGUCCAGAAGUUCCCCCCAGCGCCGGUCAUAAGCACUCCCGCCGCCUGGGCCCCGCCCUGCCUGCCAGGCGCCCUCCAGCCUCAGCUCCCGGACGCCCGGCGUGGCCGCUUUCUCGCGUCUUGCUGACCCGGGCCGGGGGCGUGUGCUCCUCCUGCAGCGGACGGAAGAUGCUGGGCCACGCAAGUUUCCCUGGGCUUGGUUAACCACCCCAAAGCCCAUUUCCAGAAGGAAAGGGUGUUGAGGAGGAGGGAUAGAAAGUCGAGAAGAGGGCCGGGUGAGUGGCUCACGCCUGUCAUCCCAGCACUUUGGGAGGCCGAGACAGGCGGAUCACCUGAGGUCAGGACUUAGAGACCAGCCUGGCCUACAUGGUGAAACCCCGUCUCUACUAAAAAUACAAAAAUUAGCCGGGUGUGGUGCCGUGCGCCUGUAGUCCCAGCAACUCGGGAGGCUGAGGUAGGAGAAUCGCUUGAACCCGGGAGUCGGAGGUUGCAGUGCUGAGAUGGCACCUGGCCUGGGCGGCAAGAGCGAAACUCCAUCUCAAAAAAAAAAAGAAGAGGAAAUGAGGCAUAGGGGCAGGCGAGCCGGGAAAAUAUUGCUACUAAGGAUCCUAAGCAGUGAACAUGCUGUUAAUACUUAGAUGAGAUCUUGCUCUGUCACCCAGACUGGAGUGCAGUGGCACGAUCAUAGCUCACUGCACCCUCAAACUCCUGGACUCAA